UGGAGGCUGGGAUUAGCCCUACAGCCGCGCCGCGCCUUUCAAGGAUCCAUGGCGUCGCUGUGCUCGGCUUGCAAGGCGGCGCUGGCCCCUUGUGGUGUGAGGUGCGUCGUUUUUACAUUUUUCAGGCUAACAGGCGGUGUGAAUGAUCUCGGAAGAUUGUGCACUGACUGACCAUGUUCGUGUUCCAAAGCAAGCAAACUGCUGUUCGGUUCUGAAGGUCAGACUUUGAGGAUAUUGCAGAUCGUGAGCUUGCUCAGCGACGUUCUCGACAGCAUGAUGAUUCCUGUUUCUCUGCACUCCCUAAGGUGCAUCAGGUCCUCAACACGUUGUUCGAUCUCUCCCGACGGGCAAAGGUUUGCUUACCCUUUAAAGAUAUUAAAGAUAAGUGUCUUUCUAAGGAAAUGGACGCUGGCUGGUUUUCUAGGAGAGAAGAAAUGGAUGCUGAUCAGAAAUCUGGGUGCUUGAAGAGGGAAGUAUGGAGUUGUGAUGACGGCGGGAUGGACUAGAGCGAGUUGUGCAAGCUCCCCUCUCUUGCUAUGCUUGCGGAAAAUUGGAGGACAGUGCUCUUGGAAAAUCAUCAGAGGACGGUGCUCGUGGAAAAUUGGAGGAUGGCACUCAUGGAAAAAUAAUUGGAGGACAGUGGUUGUGGAAAAGACUUGGAGGAUAACACUUUUGUUUCUGGAAAAUCAUCAGAGGACAAUAUUCAUGCUUGCAGAAAAGAAUUAGGGGAUGGCAACUACGGCAAAAGUGAGGUGAGUUGUGAAAGGUGAAUUCUUUCUUGAUUUUUUAAGCUGCAAGAGAAGAAUGUUUUUCCAGCAUUAACAGGGCAAGAUCUAAUAAGUUUGUUUCUUCAUUAUUAAUUGAUAUGGUUUGUUUUUUAA